AACGAUAUAGUUCAAUUGGUUAGAACGUUGGAAUCAUAAUCCAAAAGUCAUAGGUUCAAAUCCUAUUAUCGUUA
rnacentral:tRNA from 2 species